rnacentral:rRNA from 1 species
UUGAACGCUGGCGGCAGGCCUAACCCAUGCAAGUCGCGCGGAUGAAGGGAGCUUGCUCCUGGAUUCAGCGGCGGACGGGUGAGUAAUGCCUAGGAAUCUGCCUGGUAGCGGGGGAUAACGUCCGGAAACGGGCGCUAAUACCGCAUACGUCCUGAGGGAGAAAGUGGGGGAUCUUCGGACCUCACGCUAUCAGAUGAGCCUAGGUCGGAUUAGCUAGUUGGUGGGGUAAAGGCCUACCAAGGCGACGAUCCGUAACUGGUCUGAGAGGAUGAUCAGUCACACUGGAACUGAGACACGGUCCAGACUCCUACGGGAGGCAGCAGUGGGGAAUAUUGGACAAUGGGCGAAAGCCUGAUCCAGCCAUGCCGCGUGUGUGAAGAAGGUCUUCGGAUUGUAAAGCACUUUAAGUUGGGAGGAAGGGCAGUAAGUUAAUACCUUGCUGUUUUGACGUUACCAACAGAAUAAGCACCGGCUAACUUCGUG